rnacentral:rRNA from 1 species
GGAAUAUUGCACAAUGGGCGAAAGCCUGAUGCAGCGACGCCGCGUGAGGGAUGACGGCCUUCGGGUUGUAAACCUCUUUCAGUAGGGAAGAAGCGAAAGUGACGGUACCUGCAGAAGAAGCGCCGGCUAACUACGUGCCAGCAGCCGCGGUAAUACGUAGGGCGCAAGCGUUAUCCGGAAUUAUUGGGCGUAAAGAGCUCGUAGGCGGUUUGUCGCGUCUGCCGUGAAAGUCCGAGGCUCAACUUCGGAUCUGCGGUGGGUACGGGCAGACUAGAGUGAUGUAGGGGAGACUGGAAUUCCUGGUGUAGCGGUGAAAUGCGCAGAUAUCAGGAGGAACACCGAUGGCGAAGGCAGAUCUCUGGGCCGUAACUGACGCUGAGGAGCGAAAGGGUGGGGAGCAAACAGGAUUAGAUACCCCAG